rnacentral:lncRNA from 1 species
AGUCAGCAGAGACAAUCGAACAAGGAGGAAUGGAAACCAAUCAGAAGAGAGAGAGAGCUACAACUAGAAAGAAACCAAUUUUUCUCCAGGAGAUGACAUGGCCUCUCCCAAUCUCAUGACACCACAUUGGCAGAUCUUAUGGUGACUAUUCCAGAAUAUCAUAUAGUUGAUUCAGGGGAGCUCCUAUUUUCACUCAUAGACCACGUCCUGACCUCUCAGGUAGACCAUACCAUGACUAGUCAGCUAGAUCAUUUCCUGACCUCUCAGGUGGGCAACUUCAUGACUACUCAGGUAGACCACAUCAAAACCAUGCAGGUAGGCUUCAAUAUAGCGACUCAGAUAGAUAUCAUCUUACCCAUACAGAGAGAGUUGUUCCUAACUACUCAGGGAUAGCUGAUCCUGGCCACACAGAGAGAGAUAAUCAAGCCCAAAGAGGGAGAGCUCAUGAUAACCAUACAGGGUUAGCUCAUCACAACCAUGACGGCAGAUCUCAUCAUGAACACUCAGGGAGACCUUAUCAUGGCCAUGCAAUGAGAGCUCAUAACAACCAGUCAUGGAGAGAUCUUACCCAGUCAUGGAGAGGUCGGAACAACCAGUCAUAGAGAGGUCAUGACAACCAGUCACAGAGAGGUCAUGACAACCAGUCACGUAGAGGUCAUAAUAAUCAGUCAUGGAGAGCUCAUAACAUCCGGUCACGGAGAGAUCGUUAUGACACCUCAUUGAGAUCAAGUAGCAUCCAGUCAUGGAUGCUUCAUGAAGGAGAAAGAUUCCAUGGUCCAAGAGGAAGAAAUGGACCAAGGGAUGCAUCACCACCCGGAACUGAGCCAGAAAUUGAC